UACGUAGGGUGCGAGCGUUGUCCGGAAUUACUGGGCGUAAAGAGCUCGUAGGUGGUUUGUCGCGUUGUUCGUGAAAACCGGGGGCUUAACCCUCGGCGUGCGGGCGAUACGGGCAGACUGGAGUACUGCAGGGGAGACUGGAAUUCCUGGUGUAGCGGUGGAAUGCGCAGAUAUCAGGAGGAACACCGGUGGCGAAGGCGGGUCUCUGGGCAGUAACUGACGCUGAGGCACGAAAGCGUGGGUAGCAAACAGG
rnacentral:rRNA from 1 species